rnacentral:rRNA from 1 species
CCGAAAAACCUUACCUACCCUUGACAUGCCUGGAAUCCCACAGAGAUGCGGGGAGUGCUCGAAAGAGAACCAGGACACAGGUGCUGCAUGGCCGUCGUCAGCUCGUGUCGUGAGAUGUUGGGUUAAGUCCCCGCAACGAGCGCAACCCUUGCCAUUAGUUGCUACGAAAGGGCACUCUAAUGGGACUGCCGGGUGACAAACCGGAGGAAGGUGGGGAUGACGUCAGGUCAUCAUGGCCCUUAUGGGUAGGGCUACACACGUCAUACAAUGGCCGGUACAGAGGGCUGCCAACCCGCGAGGGGGAGCUAAUCCCAGAAAACCGGUCGUAGUCCGGAUCGCAGUCUGCAACUCGACUGCGUGAAGUCGGAAUCGCUAGUAAUCGCGGAUCAGCAUGUCGCGGUGAAUACGUUCCCGGGUCUUGUACACACCGCCCGUCACACCAUGGGAGCGGGUUCUGCCAGAAGUAGUUAGCCUAACCGCAAGGGGGGCGAUUACCACGGCAGGGUUCGUGACUGGGGUGAAGUCGUAACAAGGUA